rnacentral:rRNA from 1 species
GCGGGGUGCUAAUACAUGCAAGUCGAAGCGAAUGGAUUAAGAAGCUUGCUCUUAUGAAGUUAGCGGCGGACGGGUGAGUAACACGUGGGUAACCUGCCCAUAAGACUGGGAUAACUCCGGGAAACCGGGGCUAAUACCGGAUAACAUUUUGAACCGCAUGGUUCGAAAUUGAAAGGCGGCUUCGGCUGUCACUUAUGGAUGGACCCGCGUCGCAUUAGCUAGUUGGUGAGGUAACGGCUCACCAAGGCAACGAUGCGUAGCCGACCUGAGAGGGUGAUCGGCCACACUGGGACUGAGACACGGCCCAGACUCCUACGGGAGGCAGCAGUAGGGAAUCUUCCGCAAUGGACGAAAGUCUGACGGAGCAACGCCGCGUGAGUGAUGAAGGCUUUCGGGUCGUAAAACUCUGUUGUUAGGGAAGAACAAGUGCUAGUUGAAUAAGCUGGCACCUUGACGGUACCUAACCAGAAAGCCACGGCUAACUACGUGCCAGCAGCCGCGGUAAUACGUAGGUGGCAAGCGUUAUCCGGAAUUAUUGGGCGUAAAGCGCGCGCAGGUGGUUUCUUAAGUCUGAUGUGAAAGCCCACGGCUCAACCGUGGAGGGUCAUUGGAAACUGGGAGACUUGAGUGCAGAAGAGGAAAGUGGAAUUCCAUGUGUAGCGGUGAAAUGCGUAGAGAUAUGGAGGAACACCAGUGGCGAAGGCGACUUUCUGGUCUGUAACUGACACUGAGGCGCGAAAGCG